GCUAAAAAAGCACAUUACUAAAACUAACUGUUUUUAUAUACCAUUUUUUUCAGUAAAACAUUCAUUUUAGAACCACAGUAGAGAUCAGAAGCAACAUAUUUGACUAAAAAUCUCUCCGAAUUUUAAGAAAAAAUAGAAACAGAACUGUAUCAACAUGCCGGAUGAAAACAAAAAAACUCCAACGACCACAGAUGCGGCCGCCAGAAUCCAGAGCAGCGAGGCCACAAAAAGCGGAACCGGCCAAGUGGAAUCGGGAAAAUUUGCCUCCAGGGCGGAAAGAGCUGCUGACAACAAUGUGAAUAAAGGAAUAACUGAGCACCAGGGCGGCAAAAAGUGAUAGUCGCGAGGACAAAUGGAGUGAACUUCAAUAACUCAGUGGCUAUGAGCUCAUUAUGCAAUGUAUACUCAAAUAGAAAUAUCAAUAAAACUGAAUCCUAGUCGUAAAAGUUUGAUUGGCUGACUGAAU